GCCGUGCACGCAGUACAACACGUGUGAGUGGAUCCGUAAUUCUUGUACCUUUUUCUGUUUCCAGUAUCCAAAUAUUCCACCAAAUUAACACAAAUCAACAAAUAUGAGUGCAGACAGUACAGCAGAGGUAGCAGUAGAGCAGGCUCCUGAGGAGACCCCUGAAGCAGUGACAGAUGGAGGUGAUGCUACACAAGCAGAAGAGAAGAUGGAGGAAUCAACAGCAGCUCCAUCAGAAGAAACAACAGAAGGUACAACAGAAGCUGCGACGGAAGGUUCAACAGAAGCUAAGAAAGAAACGGGUAUGUCAGGGACCGUAGCAAAGCACUACAAUGAUCUAAGAGAAGGAACAUUGUUCGACAGAGCCAGGAGCAGAAUUUACUACCAACGAAAUUUCAAUAACUGGAUAAAGAGUAUGAUCAUCGCAAACUCAUUGAAGGCUGUUGACAGAAAGAAAGGUUGUACAGUACUUGAUCUUUGUUGCGGGAAAGGAGGAGAUCUUCUCAAAUGGACCAAAGGAAACCUCAAGAAAUUAGUCUGUGCAGAUAUCGCAGCUGUGUCAGUACAACAGUGUCAGAAGAGAUACAGAGACAUGGCAGACAGGAAUAGACGUACUGGUAAUGCAAAGACCUUUGCAGCAGAAUUCAUUGCAGCAGAUUGUGCUGAGGUACUUUUAUCAGAACGCUACCACGACAAGGACAUUGUCUUUGACCUGUGCAGCUGUCAGUUUUCCUUCCAUUACUCAUUUGAGACUGCCGCUAGGGCAAGGACUAUGCUCAGGAACGCCUGUGAGAGACUGCGACCCGGUGGAUACUUUGUCGGAACCAUUCCUAAUGGAUACGAGCUUGUAUCAAGGUUAAAAGCGAGUGAAGAUCUGUCAUUCGGCAAUGAUGUGUACAAGGUCACCUUUGAGAACAAAGAUUCUUUCCCACUCUAUGGAUGCAAGUAUGAUUUCCAUCUUGAGGGUGUAGUUGAUUGUCCCGAGUUCUUGAUCUACUUCCCUCUCCUUGAAGAGAUGGCUAAAGAGUUUGAUAUGGAAUUAGUGUACUUGAAGAAGUUCCAGGAAGUGUAUGAAGACAAUUGUGGGCCAACAGACAACCAAGCUCUCAUGUCAAAGAUGCAAGCUCUUGAGCAAUACCCUCCUGAGAAGGGUACCCCUCCAGCCAGUAAGAAAGAUGAAGACUACAGCCAUGCUGAGACUAGGCAUACGGAGGUCAUGGGUAUGGAGAAUGAAGAGAAGAAACCAACAUCCAUCGGCACCCUCUCCAAGUCCGAAUGGGAGGCAUCUAGCCUCUACUGUGCCUUUGCUUUCAAGAAAGCUGGAGACUUCGAGGAAGAGGAAGAAGAGGAGGAGGCACCCGCUGAAGAGGAGAAGAAGGAGGAGGAAGAGAAGACGGAAGAGGUUGCCAAUGGCAAUGGUGACGAAGCUGCCGAAGCGGAAGGUGAAGGUGGGGAGGAGGGCGGAGCCGAGGCAGAAGCAGAGGCAGAGGCUGAAGAAGGAGGUGGAGAAGAAGAAGCUCAAUGAGUGGGGAAAGAAAUCCAUAAUACCUGAUUGACUAUGAAUACAGGUGAGAACACUUACAUCUAGGAGUAUAAUAUUGUCAUAUAUACAGACACCUUGGCCCGGAUUCUGAAGUCAGGGUUAACUUAGACCAUGGUCUAACUCUGCUAAAAUUAUGGGGAGCCAAAAUUCAAAAUUUCUGUCUAUAUUAAUAUAUUUCAAAUGUUCACUUUUUUGCUUCCUUUUGCUUUCAAAACGAGAAAUAAUACUUCAAAAUACUUCAGUCAUCAUUCCCACACAAUUAUGAACAAUUUGAGUGUUGUAUCAUUUAAUAAAUUGUAUGUGUAUUUUUAGUGAUAUAUGCCCCGAUUGGCUCUCCAUAGUUAAACCACAACUUUAAACCAGGGUUUAAUUUCAACCCAAGUUCAGAAUAUGGGCCUCUGGGUGAAAUUGUUUGCUGAGGACUACCUUGUCUUCAUGGUGUGUCUGCAAAUCUCUUCACCCAGUCUAUCCCCGAUUCAAACCUUCAAAGCUCUUAUACACUCCCCAUUUUAUAAGUUGACCUCUAGUGAGUAAACACUUUGGUUUAGUCAAUGGGAUUCAUCAGACCCCUCGGUUUAAUCAUCUGAAGUUAGUCAUAGACACCGUUCUCACUUCCUUCCUAAAACUAGUUUACUGGAAACUAGAUUAACGUGUAGUGAGAAAGGUCGAAGCUAUCUUAUUAACCGGUUCAGAAAACCACCUCGCAAUGUAGUUUUCAAGAUCGUGAGGACACACCUGUUCUUCGGGAAGCGAUCUUCGCACAUUUUGAGCGCGCUGCUCCACACGACAUGUGUAGAAUGCCUACGCUGCGGUUUCAAAUAUCGCGCGAAACGUGUCACCCCACGAGAGCGUUUCCAUAGCAACAAGAUCGCUUUAUGUGAAGUGAUUUUUAAUACCACUUUCGUGUGAUCAAGUGGGAACGCUAGCAAAGCGAUCUUCCAAACCGGUUUCCUGAAUCGGUUUCCAGUAAACUAGUUUUAGAAAGCGUAAUGAGAACGGCCUCAUAUAAAUUUAUUUAGUUUUGGUUUGAGCAGUUUUAUCGGUCUCUUCAGUUUAGUAGUUUAGAUAAGCCUAACUGGAAAUAAAAUGGUGGAUGGGCUAAAUGGCAAAUAGACGAAAUGGUGAAUGUGAACUAGAAUUAGAUCAUGUUUGAUGAGGCUAAAUGGAAAAUAUACAAAUUGGUUACAGACCAAAUGGCAAUUCACCAUUUACCUUAGCACAAGUCAUUGAUAAAUAUACAUGUACCUUUACAUGAUUCAAAAUGACUGCAUUAAUGGGAGCUCAAGUUAUGUUCAACAAGCUCCCAAAUUCUAUGCUCUAUCUCUACUGAUUUUAACUACCUUGAAGCAUCAGUCUGUUUGAGAGACAGAAAAUUAAUAGCGCCAUCUUCUGGUGACUUUAUUACAUUUGCUUCUUCAGAUAUUUGACUGUUGAAUCAUUUUAUACAAAGCCCAUUUCCUAUUUUGAGCUAUUGAUAUAUGCCUUGAGCAUGGGUUGAAUUGUAGAGCUAACAUUUACAUUUUGUCACCAUUUUUUUUUUGUCAUGAAUUAGCAUGUUAAUUUGGCUAUUGUCAUUUCCAUGGCAAUGCACGUGAUUAGGAUUUUUAUUUUCAUUUUAGUAUCUAGCAAUCAAUCAUGAUGUUAGGAUUCAAUUAUUUCAUUUAUGUAUGAUUAGAAUUCAUGAACAGGAAUAUCAACCUACACAUACUGAAAGAUUACAAUGCAUUGCAUUGCAUUUAUCUUUAUUUUUUAUUCUGUAUGUUUAAUCAUAAAAUACAUUAGACAAUUGUAUUGUUCUGUGGAAAAUUGAAUGACUGUUUAUGGCACUUAUUUCUAACAUUGUGUUUAUGUUUUUUAAUGAGAGAUUGUGAUCAAAUUUUUACACUGUAAAUCAGCUAUUCAUCAGUCAUCUUCUUUUAAUCACUCAUCAAUUAUUUCUUUACUUCUGUCAUGUUUUACAUAUACAGGAUGAGCAUCAGAAGGAAUACCACAUAAGAAAAGUAAAGUCAUCCGCAGGAUUUAAACCGAUUAAGACAUUCAGGGGAAAGGAAAUUAAAGGCAUGGUUAAAUAAUUACCUUUAAAUCAACACUUAAUGGGCACACAGUCCUCUUUUAAGAGACAGAAGGAUUUAAAUCAUACAUUUAUAAAGGAGUUAUUGGCCUUCUGUUUCUCAACAGAGUGUGUGUUGGUUCACCUAUUCAUGUUGUAUAUUUUUCGUGGUUUUUUUUAUCAAAGACACCAUUGAAUUUUCAUUUGUCUUGCUUUGUAGAUUUCAGUUUGUAAAAUGUUAAUACUCAAUCAGAUUAUGCUCCAUUUGAGUUCAUUUUGUUUUAAAGAAGAUAAAUGCAAAUUGACAGGGUGCAGAUUACUGAUAUAUGCCAUCUAAGCACUUGUCUCAAUUUCAUUUAUCAUAGAAAGAUUUAUGGUGUGAUAUGAGGGCCCGUUUAGCAUAAAUGGAUGUCAAAUGGUGGAUAUAAGAUAAGAUACAUGUGAUGUCUGUCACAGAAUCUUUGUAUGUUUUGAUAAUGAUCUCGUCCUUUUCAAGACAAUCCCUUGAUGAUGUAGAAUUCAGUAGAAAACUUUUCAGCUUGCAUAGAAACUGUUAUUUUGCAUAUAUAUUUGAAUCUUACAAUUUGUCCUAAAAUAUAUUUUCGUUGGAGAUUAUUAUUUUCUUUUCUUUUUUUACAUACACUGCUGAUUUUGUAUUGAGUAUUUUUGGAAUUAAAACGACAGUUAGGAUUGUUGCAUCUUGUAUAAAAGCUAUCAUAUAAAUCCAUUUUGUUUGUGUGUAAUGCAGAAGUCUAUUGUGUACUUAUGGUAUACUCUAUAAAUCAAGGAGGGUUUUACCAUCAUUGAAUACAAGUCUGUACAUAGAAUGUAUUUGUUACGUUUAGAAUGAUAUGCACAAUGAAUUAUGAUUAAUCCCAGUGAAGAGCUCUGAUUGAUAAUUGUUAAGCGCUUUGAGCAGUCGUAGAUUGAUUAAGUGCUAUACAAAUGACAAUUAUUAUUAUUUCCUAAUGUUUCGUACCACCUCAGGACUUUUUGUUUUUAUUUUACCCAAAGUUGGCAGUUCCUUCAAUACAAGACGAUCUGUGUAGGUGAGGUAUGUCAUUCUCCCAGCCCUAUAAAAACUAUUUUGAGCCUCAGUUUAUUACCAUCCCAUAGAAAUGUGCAUAUGACGAUAAUCCAUGUUUCUGUUUCGAAGAAUUAAGGCUCUUCAUGAUUUCGUGAAAUAGGUCCGAAGCGGGUUGUUUCACUUUCACGUAUACUUAGUGUAACAGAAGCAAUGUGUCUCCCCAGUAUGCAUUGGCUAGUGCGGGUGCUGUAUUAUAACCUGAGCGACUUUACCUCACACUUAAAUCCUUGUGAAAUAUUUCAUGGGGUUCCAAUUUAGAUGCAAUUCUGCAAUGCUAUGCAUCUUAGAUGGCAUUCACCUUCAAAUAGGCAGAGCAUGGGAGAUUUCACUGUCCAGUUUUCAAGUCUGACUUGGAAAUCAAAUGGCUUGAUCUGGUGGGUGUUUCAUAAAGCUGUUCAUAAGUUACAAUAUCUAGGAUUAGCUCCUGUGUGAUAUUACAUGCUACAAAUGAGAUUAUUGACGAAUUGGAUUAUUGUAUGUUGUUUCAUUGUUGUGUUUAUGCUUCAUUUUAGAUCUAUGUUAACAACAGCAUGAUUUAAACUUUUAAAGACUUAUUUUCAGUGCCUUUCCUUGAAAGAGUGACAAACAUGUUUGUUAAAAAAAUAUUCUCUUUUUACUCUCUAACUCCUAAAUACCAUUUUAGGAGCUAAUUAAAUUCUAAGAGAAAAAACUUUUAAAAAUAGAAAUGACCGGGAGCUAGUACCACAAAUGUUAGUGACUGAUCGUGUGAUUGAUCCUGGGGAUUGAUUGUAGAUUGUGGUCAAUGCAAUCAAUCAUUGAACUUUGUUCUGAAACUAAUUGCAAAGCUGAGUGUGAAAUGACCCUUGACUGGCUCUUUAUGCUUUGCAUCCUCAAAGCACUGUACGUAUUACAAUCCAAUCGUACAGGGAAUUAUUUCGCGCUUUUUACUUCUACAGACGAUGUCUGCCACACAAACUGGCCAAAUUUUGUUAUUUAUUGCUGUUUGUGUUUUAGCACGAAGUGAUCGAGUUAUGUACAUAAUUAAGAUUUAAAAAAGUGACAGUUGGUUGGUGACUAUGUCAUUUUCUCUGAUAUCUGUUUAAUGUUAUGCAAUCUUAUAAUAUGCUCUAUUUAGGGGAAGGGGUGAAUUCAUUGACUGUCUGUAUUAUAUCAAAAUUAUGAUACUUUUGAUUGAAAGGGCUUGUAGAAUUUUAUUUUUACUGAAGGAAAUUCCUCUUUCUGCUUCCCUUACGUAUAUUAAGUAUGAUUCGGAAGCAUUUAUUGAUAUUUCUUUAGCGUGUGAUUUGCCCUACUGCUGAAUGGACUUGUUCAUGGAUCGAUAUCUUACACUAAAGAUUACACAAGGUAGAAUAGAAACGUGUGUGAAACAUACUGGAAUUUCUUUUGUUACUAUAAAAUGCAUUCCUUUACAUGAUCUAAUUAUGUUAAUAAUAAAGAUUCAGGGAGCUGACAUAGAAUUGAUUUAAGAGCAAGCAUUGCAUAUAGAACUUGAAUGGAAGUGUCAAUAAUUGUUGCAUGGCGUAGGGAUGGGAUAGUUCUUAUGAACAAAUUGUUAAAAUAGGAUUGUAAUGUUGUUGUAUAGGGGUUUAACAACCCACUUUUGAUGUGAUAUUAUUUUGAAUUCCCAACUUUGUGUGGGCUUUUAUUUUUGCUUCUUUUUGGUAAUGUAUAGUUAUGAUCAGUGGUGUAUGAAAAUUAGGACACUGCAGAAGUUUCCUCCCAUGAAAUAUUUCCCUCCCAUUUUUCGUUGAUGUACAUUGCUUUGUUUUUGGUAAUUACUUGAGAAAAAAAAUGCAUAACAAUUUUUGUAGUAUGGCUCAGAAUUCUGUAAAGAAUUUUAAAUGUUGUAGAAGUGUAACAAUAGCUCAAUUAAAAAGACUGGAAUGUAUUCUAAA